rnacentral:rRNA from 1 species
GGGACGUACCUUUUGGUAUGGAAUACCUGCCGGAAACUUGGGCACAUCCCGUGUGUGCCCUUCGGGGGAACCAUUUAUCCGGCANGGAUCGGCCCGCGUUGGAUUAGCUAGUUGGUGAGGUAAAGGCUCACCAAGGCGACNAUCCAUAGCUGGCCUGAGAGGAUGAUCAGCCCCACUGGGACUGAGACACCGCCCAGACUCCUACGGGAGGCAGCACUGGAGAAUAUUGGACAAUGGGCGCAAGCCUGAUCCAGCCAUGCCGCGUGCCUGAUGAAGGCCCUACGGUUGUAAAGCUCUUUCACCGGUGAAGAUAAUGACGGUUACCGGAGAAGAAGCCCCGGCUAACUUCGUGCCAGCAGCCGCGGUAAUA